CCGCGAGACUUGGGUCGCCUAUCGGCCUGAGCUGCGGCGCGGAGGGAGGAGAGGGGCGGUGGUGUCUGUCCGCCCGCCUGUCCGGCCGGGUGCCCGUCCGUCCUGGACCCGGCCGUGCCCGGCGCGCGGGGCCCGCGGCACUGCGGCCCACGCAGUGUUAAACGACCUUUGGUUCUGCCUCGGGAACACAGUCCGGCAUUUCCUUGUUGCCCAGGAGAAGGUAGGCCCCGGAUGUUGAGGUUCGGUGUUUAAUGCCAGUUCCGGAGGAUUCUUACUGAAUGGCCAUGUGUCUUCCUGUCAUUGUGACCACCUGUGACUGGCCUCCUCUCAUGGAUUGUACGCUCCUCAGCCAAACUGUGAGAGACUGUGCAGGGCCGUUCUCACUCGCGUCCCACUGGACGAGAUUCGUUUGCAUUUCUGUGCAUGAAAAUCAUUUGGACUGUUGUCACUUUCCUGGAACUGACAGCUCAAAAUCAAUGACAGUCACUUGUGGACUAAAUGUCCCCCGCCAAGACGCAUAUGUUGAAACCCUACACCCUUAUGUCAUGGUAUUAGGAAAUGGGACCUGUGGCAGGUCAUUAGGAUUAAGAGGCCAUGAGGGUAGAACCCUCCAGAACGGGAUUAGGAUCUUGGGAAGAAUCCUGAGAAAGCUGCUUCCUCGCCGUGCUCUUCAGCCAUGUGAGGACACGAGGACGGCCUUCCACACACGGGAGGGGCCCUGGCCAGAACCCGGCCUCUCGGGCCCCAGAUGUGGGACGUGGCACCUUUGGGAACCACAAGAUACAGACUUCGGUUCGCUAAGCCCCCGGGUCUGUGGAAUCUGCUACCGGAGCUGCAAACACGGGUGUCCCACGCCCGGCAUCUCGGAAACUGUGUGUCGUCCGUUUCAAACUCCUUCAAAAUUUUCCUGACAAAACUCACAGCAGAGAUGGAUGUGAUCACAACCUUCAAGACGGAACGCGCCCGUCCUUCCCUUGCUGGCACACCCACGUGGAAUUGGGUGGCACGGCUGCCUUUGUUAAAAAGUGGAAAUAGGCAUUUAUCUCCCCACAGCUCCGCAAGCACCGUCAGAUGCACAAUAAUUCUCUAGCCAAACGACGUAAUUAUUUUUAAGAUUUUGUUUUUAAGGAAUCCCUAUACCCAUUUUGGGGCUUGAAUUUUACAACCUCAAGAUCAAGAAUCUCAUUUUCUACCAACCGAGCCAGCGAGGCACCCCAAUGCCCUUCUUUUUUGUCGGCAAUAAUAGAUGUUUACUGAGCAGUUC